UGGAUGAUGUCAUGGCUCAGAAGCACAUUUGCUGAAAAAACACACACACACACACACACACAUGCGCCAGCCCUCGGCCUGCUCGGACCGCCCCUCUCCCCUUUUAUCAUGAAGCAAUAGUCCAGCUUGUUCCCAUCCUCGCGCUGAUCCUCUGCAGUCAGAGCUCUCCUCUCCAAAAGACGUGCACAGAGUCAGCGCCAUGAAAGAGAAAGGCGGGACCUUUCCAGUGGCCUGUGAUUAGAUUGUACAGGCAUCCUCUCUUUCUGGCUGCCAGUGUGACACGGACAGAUAGAUAGAAGAAUGGGGCCCCGAGCACAUGCUGCACUGUGACAUAACUCGGGUCCGACCUGUGUGGCGAGCCGCUACGUCUCUGCGGGGAAAACGCAUUACGUUCACAAGCGUCAAUUGGCCUCGCCUUUGCGCUGCGGUGUUUGCACACAACUCUGACCAAUUAGUAAUGAAAGUACCUUGAAAAUGUCUUUAUUUAUGGGUUAUUCCAGAAUUGGAGGACAAUUUAAGUAUUUUUGAAAAACUGACCAUUUAUUUCAUUUUUUUUUUUCUGUCACGUUUUGAAAAUAAACCGGUAAUAAAUCA